UAGAGUUUGAUCCUGGCUCAGAACGAACGCUGGCGGCAGGCCUAACACAUGCAAGUCGAACGUGAAGCUGGAGCUUGCUCCAGUGGAAAGUGGCAGACGGGUGAGUAACGCGUGGGAACCUACCCAGUAGUACGGAACAACAGUUGGAAACGACUGCUAAUACCGUAUACGUCCUUCGGGAGAAAGAUUUAUCGCUAUUGGAUGGGCCCGCGUUGGAUUAGCUUGUUGGUGAGGUAACGGCUCACCAAGGCGACGAUCCAUAGCUGGUCUGAGAGGACGAUCAGCCACACUGGGACUUAGACACGGCCCAGACUCCUACGGGAGGCAGCAGUGGGGAAUAUUGCACAAUGGGCGCAAGCCUGAUGCAGCCAUGCCGCGUGAGUG
rnacentral:rRNA from 1 species